rnacentral:rRNA from 1 species
UACGUAGGUGGCAAGCGUUAUCCGGAAUUAUUGGGCGUAAAGAGCGCGCAGGUGGUUGAUUAAGUCUGAUGUGAAAGCCCACGGCUUAACCGUGGAGGGUCAUUGGAAACUGGUCGACUUGAGUGCAGAAGAGGGAAGUGGAAUUCCUAGUGUAGCGGUGAAAUGCGUAGAUAUUAGGAGGAACACCAGUGGCGAAGGCGGCUUGCUGGACGACAACUGACGCUGAGGCGCGAAAGCGUGGGGAGCAAACAGGAUUAGAUACCCU